AAUUACUAGUUCCCAAAAUUGCUUGCCAGUGGUGAGUCAGAAGGUGUCUUAUAAGACAUGCAGUGUCAGUUAUAUAUUACUGUGAACUUUCUGUCUGCAUGGUCCACAUAUUUGAGUUGAAUCAUAUUCAGGACAGACCACUGCAAGGUCUCUUGAAUGGGCUGCUUUGGUGAGUUCUUGAAGAGACUGCAUGAUGAAUUGCAGAUAGCCACUAAUAUAAGGAGUGCCUUGUGAAAACUGCCAAAACUUUUACAUCCAUGAGGUAUGAAAGAGGGGAAGAGAAAUGGCUUUUGACAAAAGGAUCACUCUGGAGACUCCAUGAAUCACAGCAGCUACAGGUACCAGGGGUGGAAAAAAGUGGAAGAACAGAAGAUGCUGGACGAGGUGCUGGAUGAGGUGAAAGGGAGCUCAACACAGAAAAGGAGGCAACUCAUGGAGGAAAAGCAUUACAGUGUUUUGUAGGAACAUCAAGAAGGAAGCUGGAAAAUCUGGAGGAAGCUGGAGGAUGUUGAGUUUAAGUUGAGGAAGAAGAGACAAUGCAGAAAAAGAAGUUCUUUCUGAGGUGAGAACUUACUGACCUGUUUAUUUUUACAACCACGAGGAAUAUGAUGCUACUGCUGUCACUGCUACUUUUGGUAAUGACAUGAUACAGUAGUAAUGGAGCAAAAGUAGGUGUCAGAGUUGAAACAAAACAAAGAACACAACAGCUUUCAUUCAUAUCUCUAGAGUCUCCAGCAAGCAAAACUAUUUUGUUAAUAUUUUAUUGUUAUUAGUCAUAAGUUCAGCAAGGGAGCUAUUACAAGUGAAACACUAGAACAGACUGAGCUGACAGUAAGCUAAAACAUGCCUAGGGCUACAAACUUUUUUUCUAGUAUUAUGACUUUCUAGUUUCUGCUUGUGAUGAAUAAUGUGUCAGAAGAAUCCCUAAACUCCAUUACUGAUUACUAAGGUUGCUGAACAAAUGAUCUGGAAAAUAAUACAACUUUGAAGCAACUAUUUGGAAGUCACCACUUUUCUUUGCACUUUUCUUUGUUAAAAUAUCCACGUUAACCUGACCUUUCAGAUUCCUAAUUCAGCUGCCUUAUAUUUUUUCCAAAAUACACUUAUUUUUCUAAAUAAGACUGGACUUCUACCAGAGAGGUACAUUCUCAAUCCUGAGAAUGUGGACAAAACUUUUUUUUUUUUUUUUUUUAAACUCACCUUAUGCUCUACCACCAGUUGAGCAAAGUUCAAAUUCUGAUUCUUAACAAAAAAAGAAUGAUACCAGCUGCUCUCCAGUUUAAGUACUGGUGGAAGAUCCAUGUAAGAACUCUAGUUACUUAUAUUUAUAGAAAUGCUAAUCUGAGACUCAUUCUGAUAAGUGAAGGUCAAUUGUCUGAAGCUAAAAGAUAUUCAAUUUAUUUUCUAGGCUACACUUGAGGUUGUUGCAAAUUUCAGCUCAUGUAUCUACAUGAACUAGAGACUUUCAUUUCUCUUAUGCUGUUCCUUUCAUUUUUAGAUCCUUAAGUUGAUUGGAAAUGGAAUUACAUGGGCUAACAUGUUUGGACACUAAGUGCUCUAAUAUUUUGCAUGAUGAAGGACUUCAGAAAUGUUUUGUAUUUUCCAGCUAUAGCGACUGACCUCAACAGAUUUUCCCUCUUCUUAUAGGCAUUGCCUUACCAGUUUCUGUUGACAUUAUAUGUAGUCUUAAGCCUAUUACGUGAACUCCAUAUAAAGUCUCAUUUAAUAUUCUUGUUUUAACAUUUUGAGAAUAGCACAAAACUCCUCACUCUCCUGGUAUUUCUGCAGCAGAAUUACUACAACUUUCCAUGUCAUGUAACUUGCAUAUUUUGCUCUAAUUAGCCCUCUCUGCUAAAUGCUUCAACUGAGAAGAUAGAACAGGCUGAUGUGAGUGAGGAUGGAUUAUUUUAAAGUGAUCAUUGCAGACAAAAGUGAAUGGUGAAGAUAUGACAGUUUUUUUUCAGUUGGAGAAACUGUUGUUUUCAGUGAAAGCCAUCACAAUAUAUGGGCUUUUAAGAGAGGAUGAUACAGCAUAUAUUUCUGUUUUUCCACUGGUGUAAAUAUUCUUUCCAGUAAUAAAAUUCUUGUGAGGACUGGAAAGGCCUCUCUGG